UACGAAGGGUGCAAACGUUGCUCGGAAUUAUUGGGCGUAAAGCGCACGUAGGCGGCAUUGCAAGUCGGAUGUGAAAUCCCUCUGCUUAACCAAGGAAGUGCAUCCGAAACUGCAGUGCUUGAGUACUUAAGAGGAUCGCGGAAUUCCCGGUGUAGAGGUGAAAUUCGUAGAUAUCGGGAGGAACACCAGUGGCGAAGGCGGCGAUCUGGGAAGAUACUGACGCUGAGGUGCGAAAGCGUGGGGAGCAAACAGG
rnacentral:rRNA from 1 species